UCCGUAGGUGAACCUGCGGAAGGAUCAUUAACACAGUGGGCGGCCCUAGCGCUGCAUCCCAUAUCCAACCCCAUGUGAACCGGUGACGUGCGGCGACUCCAGCUGCGUGUUUCAUUUUCGAACCAUCCUAGCCGAAACACAACUAAAGUUCCAUACAUACAUACAUGUUACAACUCUUAGCAAUGGAUAUCUUGGUUCUCACAACGAUGAAGAACGCAGCGAACUGCGAUACGUAGUGCGAAUUGCAGAAUUCAGUGAAUCAUCAAAUCUUUGAACGCAAGUUGCGCUUCCGAGAUACCCUUGGAAGCAUGCCUCUUUGAGUGUCGGUUUCUGUUCGUUUGCGCGCCCGCGCGCGCAAGACAAUGAGCUUUGCUGCGGCAUAGCUUGAACGAAGCGACCCGGGAUCGUGCGCGCAUUGUUGAUACCCUCGAGAAUGCCGGAGCGGUCCCCGCCGAUCUGCGCGCAAUCGCAGAUCGACACACACACAUCAAAGAUCUCAAAUGAGGUAGGAUUACCCGCUGAAUUUAAGCAUAUCAAUAAGCGGAGGA
rnacentral:rRNA from 1 species